rnacentral:rRNA from 1 species
AUGGCUCCCCACCCACCGGUCCUCCUGCUACUGCUCCUCGCGCCGCUCCUCCUCUGCUCGCUGCUCCCCGAUGCGGCGCGGGCGGCCGGCGCCGAGGACACCGGGGUGACCAUCGUGCGCAAGGACGGCACGACCUGCACGCUCUGCGCCUCCUGCGGGAACCCCUGCAACCCCAACCCGGGAUACAACUACCCGUCGCCACCUCCUCCGGCUCCGGUGACCCCCGCGGCGCCGGUGUACCCGCCUCCCACUUCCUACCCAGCUCCCUCCGGUGGAGGAGGCGGUGGCGGUGGCUACUUCUACCCUCCGCCCACCGGCGGGUACGGAGGAGGAGGCGGCGGCGGCGGGUCGCAAGGAGGACAAGGAGGAGGAGGUGGAGGCGGUGCGUACCCGACGCCCCCGCCGCCCAACCCGUUCCUACCCUACUUCCCCUUCUACUACUACAGCCCGCCACCCCAGCUCAAGGGCUCGGCGCCGGCCGUCUCGUCGUCCGCCGCGGCGACGCUACUGCUGCUCGGGCUCUCCGGGCUGCUGCUGUGGUGA